CCUGGCUCAGGACGAACGCUGGCGGCGCGCCUAACACAUGCAAGUCGAACGAGCGAGAGAGAGCUUGCUUUCUUGAGCGAGUGGCGAACGGGUGAGUAACGCGUGAGGAACCUGCCUCAAAGAGGGGGACAACAGUUGGAAACGACUGCUAAUACCGCAUAAGCCCACGGCUCGGCAUCGAGCAGAGGGAAAAGGAGCAAUCCGCUUUGAGAUGGCCUCGCGUCCGAUUAGCUAGUUGGUGAGGUAACGGCCCACCAAGGCGACGAUCGGUAGCCGGACUGAGAGGUUGAACGGCCACAUUGGGACUGAGACACGGCCCAGACUCCUACGGGAGGCAGCAGUGGGGAAUAUUGCACAAUGGGGGAAACCCUGAUGCAGCGACGCCGCGUGGAGGAAGAAGGUCUUCGGAUUGUAAACUCCUGUUGUUGAGGAAGAUAAUGACGGUACUCAACAAGGAAGUGACGGCUAACUACGUGCCAGCAGCCGCGGUAAAACGUAGGUCACAAGCGUUGUCCGGAAUUACUGGGUGUAAAGGGAGCGCAGGCGGGAAGACAAGUUGGAAGUGAAAUCCAUGGGCUCAACCCAUGAACUGCUUUCAAAACUGUUUUUCUUGAGUAGUGCAGAGGUAGGCGGAAUUCCCGGUGUAGCGGUGGAAUGCGUAGAUAUCGGGAGGAACACCAGUGGCGAAGGCGGCCUACUGGGCACCAACUGACGCUGAGGCUCGAAAGUGUGGGUAGCAAACAGGAUUAGAUACCCUGGUAGUCCACACUGUAAACGAUGAUUACUAGGUGUUGGAGGAUUGACCCCUUCAGUGCCGCAGUUAACACAAUAAGUAAUCCACCUGGGGAGUACGACCGCAAGGUUGAAACUCAAAGGAAUUGACGGGGGCCCGCACAAGCAGUGGAGUAUGUGGUUUAAUUCGACGCAACGCGAAGAACCUUACCAAGUCUUGACAUCCCUUGACGAUGCUGGAAACAGUAUUUCUCUUCGGAGCAAGGAGACAGGUGGUGCAUGGUUGUCGUCAGCUCGUGUCGUGAGAUGUUGGGUUAAGUCCCGCAACGAGCGCAACCCUUAUGGUCAGUUACUACGCAAGAGGACUCUGGCCAGACUGCCGUUGACAAAACGGAGGAAGGUGGGGAUGACGUCAAAUCAUCAUGCCCUUUAUGACUUGGGCUACACACGUACUACAAUGGCGUUAAACAAAGAGAAGCAAGACCGCGAGGUGGAGCAAAACUCAGAAACAACGUCCCAGUUCGGACUGCAGGCUGCAACUCGCCUGCACGAAGUCGGAAUUGCUAGUAAUCGCAGAUCAGCAUGCUGCGAUGAAUACGUUCCCGGGCCUGUACACACCGCCC
rnacentral:rRNA from 1 species